rnacentral:rRNA from 1 species
CCCUUAGAUGUCCUGGGCCGCACGCGCGCUACACUGAUGCAUUCAACGAGUAUUUCCUUGGCCGAGAGGCCUGGGCAAUCUUUUAAACCUGCAUCGUGAUAGGGAUAGAUUAUUGCAAUUAUUAAUCUUGAACGAGGAAUUCCUAGUAAACGCAAAUCAUCAAUUUGCAUUGAUUACGUCCCUGCCCUUUGCACACACCGCCCGUCGCACCUACCGAUUGAAUGGUCCGGUGAAAUCUCGGGAUUGUGGCCAGUUCACUUUAUUGGGAGUUGGCUGCGAGAACUUGCUUAAACCUUAUCAUUUAGAGGAAGGUGAAGUCGUAACA